CCUACGGGCGGCAGCAGUGAGGAAUAUUGGUCAAUGGACGAGAGUCUGAACCAGCCAAGUAGCGUGAAGGAUGACUGCCCUAUGGGUUGUAAACUUCUUUUAUAUGGGAAUAAAAUGUUCCACGUGUGGGAUUUUGUAUGUACCAUAUGAAUAAGGAUCGGCUAACUCCGUGCCAGCAGCCGCGGUAAUACGGAGGAUCCGAGCGUUAUCCGGAUUUAUUGGGUUUAAAGGGAGCGUAGGUGGAUUGUUAAGUCAGUUGUGAAAGUUUGCGGCUCAACCGUAAAAUUGCAGUUGAAACUGGCAGUCUUGAGUACAGUAGAGGUGGGCGGAAUUCGUGGUGUAGCGGUGAAAUGCUUAGAUAUCACGAAGAACUCCGAUUGCGAAGGCAGUUCACUGGACUGCAACUGACACUGAGGCUCGAAAGCGUGGGUAUCAAACAGGAUUAGAUACCCUUGUAGUC
rnacentral:rRNA from 1 species